rnacentral:rRNA from 1 species
UACAGAGGUCCCAAGCGUUGUUCGGAUUCAUUGGGCGUAAAGGGUGCGUAGGUGGCGCUGUAAGUCGGGUGUGAAAUUUCGGAGCUUAACUCCGAAACUGCAUUUGAUACUGGCGUGCUUGAGGACUGGAGAGGAGACUGGAAUUCAUGGUGUGGCAGUGAAAUGCGUAGAGAUCAUGAGGAAGACCAGUGGCGAAGGCGGGUCUCUGGACAGUUCCUGACGCUGAGGAACGAAGGUCAGGGGAGCAAACGGG